AUUUAAAAAGGCAUGUUUUCACUGGGGCUAUAUCCACUUAUAGUAAAAACCAAAGAAAAAAGUUAACUGCGCCAUUCCCAAAUCCCUGUGCAUAUUUAAACAAAUGGAGGGUAUUUAGUUUCUCCAAUGGCCAUGAGAGAGUUUAGUGCACCUGCCACGUCAAGGCAAACCUCUGAGGUGGGUCCUACUCAGAGCCUUGAGCUUCUGGCAAAGACAUCUCCUAUGAGACAGAAAGGGGUAUUCUUUCAUAUACAUCCCUACAUGCUUAUUAACCCCUAAUAAGUAACACAUGGGGUGGGCAGCAGCAUUGUGCCCCCCCCCCCAAAAAAAGCUCCCUAUCUUCCCAGCAAAGGGAAUAAAUAUGGCAAAUUGACUUUCAAUUUUGAGAAAUACAAUGGAAAAUCAUAACUUUUCAUCACGGAGUGUAUUUUUGUGUGUUUCAGCUUCCAGCUGGCUGACUGGAUUUCAUGUAUAUUUUUUGGGGGGCGGGUACAUGCACACGCAUUAGGAGAACUAGACACUAGGCGCCCAGACCACUUUAGCUUAUUGAAGUGGUCUGAGUGCCAAUUUUCAUCACCAUUAACCCUGCAAGUGUAAUUACUGCAGUUUUUAUAAACUGCAAUAAUUACCUGCUAGGGUUAACUCCUCCUCUAUUGGUUGUCUAUCAGACUGCCAAUAGAGGGACUUCCGGGUUUUUAGGCGACUUUUGGUCGUCCUCACGCUAUGCAUGAGAACCUCCAGCGUCGCCAAAAUCCCCAUAGAAAAGCAUUUAAUU